rnacentral:rRNA from 1 species
GACGAAGAGGGUAAGGGUAUUUUAUUGGUUCGUAAUUAGUGUUAUUGAAGGACUAGAAAUAAGGUCUUGUUAGGUGAAAUUUUAAGCUUGGGAUUAGUCCAGUUUUGCGUAAAUGAAGUUGUGAAGUUUAGAUAAUAAACUGGGAUUAGAUACCCCACUAUUCUAAAAGUUAAAAUAAGGCCAGAGUAGUAAGAGUUAUGUGCUUGAAACUCAAAGAAUUUGGCGGUGUUUUAAUCCGAUCAGAGGAACCUGUCCCGUAAUCGAUAAUCCACGUUUAUUUAACUUGGUCUAGCAUUCAGCUUGUAUACCGCCGUCAAAAGAGUGAUUCAAGAGAAUACAUUCCUGGUUUCUGAUUAGAAAAGAUGUCAGGUCAAGGUGCAGCUUAUGAUUAAGGGGAGAUGGGUUACAAUAAUUUUAAUUAGACGGAGAUUUCUUUGUAAGGGGAGUUGAAGGUGGAUUUGGGUGUAAUGAAAAAUAUUAAAUUUUCAUGAUAUUGGCUCUAAAACAAGCACACAUCGCCCGUCGCUCUCGUUUUUU